rnacentral:rRNA from 1 species
GUCUUUUGACAGACCCACAUAAAAGAUAAUGCCUGCCCAGUGAAAAACUUUAAACGGCCGCGUUAGCGUGAGCGUGCUAAGGUAGCGUAAUAAAUAGCCUUUUAAUUGGAGGCCAGUGAAUGGCAAGACUAGGAAUACCUGUACCCUUUAUGAAAAAAAAACUUUUCAUCUGAGUGAAAAGACUCAGAUAGCAAAGGAAGACGAAAAGACCCCGCGGAACUUUACCUUUUCCAGCCUUAGCUGCCCACAAACACAAAAGACAAAAGGUUUGAUUGGGGCAAUCUCGGAACAACCAAGCUUCCGAUUCUCCUUAAAUAAAUAUUCAUAACCUGAUAAGGACAAAAAAGAAGUUACCCCGGGGAUAACAGCGUAAUCCAGCUCAAGAGUACACAUCGAAAGCUGGGUUUGCGACCUCGAUGUUGGCUUAAGGACAUCCACAUCAGUGCAACCGCUAUGAUAGGAUAGUCUGUUCGACUAUUAUACCCUUACGUGAUCUGA